CUACAGCCAUAUCAUGUUAAAACAUUGGUUCUCAUCUGAUUACUGAAGUUAAGAAAUGUUGAGCCUGGUCAGUACAUAGAUGGGUGAUUGCUUGGGAAUAACAGGUGCUGUAAG